ensembl:snRNA U2 U2 spliceosomal RNA
CUCACUUCUUAGCCUUUUUAGGUAAGAUCAAGUGUGGUAUCAGUUUAAUAUCUGAUAGGUCCUCUAUCCAAGGACAUUAUAGUAAAUGGAUUUUUGGAGCAGGGAGAUGGAAUCGGAGCUUGCUCCGUCCACUGUAUGCAUUGAACUGGUAUUGCAGUACUUCCAGGAAUGGUGCACCCCUU